CUAUUAGUUUAGUAUAAUAUAAAAGAAGUUGGUGCUUGUUAUUGAAAGCUAAGUGUGUUGUGGAUAGGUUUGCCUGCGUACUGUGCGGAGCAGGCUGGGACGGACGACACAACCAGACGUCAGACACAAGGCACUAGGUUAAAAGGGUGCCAUAAACUGGUGCUUUAUUUAACGUAUUUUCGCAGAACAAGACAGUGACAGGGGCCGUGGUGGGUGCCUGCGUGUGCUGGUGCAAGCUUGGUGCCUGCCGGGAGGUGCCUGCAGUGCCACAAGGGAUAAUAUUGAUACAAAUGUAGAGGGACGAAAUAGGGAAGCAGGAAGACCACCACCAUCACCACCAGCAGUGUGGAAGAAAGUUUAGGCAAGCGAAGAAAGUUGGAAAAUUAAUAAUUAAACGCUUGCUGUCUUUUAUUAUCUUGAGUAUAAAAUGGUUAUAUGACAAUCUCUCUCUCUCUCUCUCUCUCUCUCUCUCUCUCUCUCUCUCUCUCUCUCUCUCUCUCUCUCUCUCUCUCUCUCUCUCUCUCUCUCUCUCACUAAGCUUUGUAUUAGUUACCCGUUGACAGAAGUGACAGCCGCGUUUUCUCUUGUCAGAUGUAAACAAAGCGGUAGUUUCCUUCCAGCUGGUGAUAAAACUCUUUCUCGCUCUUCCUCACUCUCCCACAUGCAGUAGCAACGGCAACCCUCCGAUCCGGCAAGCAAGUUGGCGGCAGCGAUGGCGGUGGCGGCGGCAGUGGUGGUGAGGUGGACGGCAGGGACAGAGGGGCAGUACAGGCUGCGGACAUCAAGGAGAAGAGGAACGCACGGACAAGCAAGGUGUUAUUCGGCAGUCUGAUCCUGGACCUGCUCGGCUUGAAGGUGGUGCUGCCCGUGUCUCCUGCUCUCCUCGACUGUUACUCCAAGCACAACACCAGCGGCUUGUAUUCCUCUCAGCUCUCCUGUGUGACUUAUUACCAGCAUAUCAUCGGUUUCGCUGCGAGGUUCCAUUCUGUCUUGUUUGGUAAUUAAGUGGGUUUGUUGUGUUUUGUAUUGGUUUAUAUAUUUUUAGCUUGUUUUUAUUAUUAUUUUUUCAAUUUUUUUAUCCUAUUAUCUAUUUAUUUAUUUUUUGUUUGUUUGUUUGUUUACAGGGUGUGUGUGUGUUUGUUUGUGUUCCUGCUGUUCAAUAUUGCAGCUUGUUUUCUUUAUUAUUGUUAUUUUGUGUUUUAUUCUAUUUCAGUGUUCUGAGGGAGUCUUCAGGUGUUUUUGGGGUGUUUUUGGGUGUUUUUGGAGUGUUUUGGGGUGUUUUUGGUGUGUUGUGAAGUGUUUUGAUGUGUUUUGGGGUGAUUAAGGGGUGUUUUGAAGUGUUUUGUGGUGUUGUGGAGGUGUUUUGGGAUUUUUGGUGUGUUUUAAAGUGUUUUGGGAUGUUUUUGGAAUGUUUUGAUGUGUUUUGAGAUGUUUAGGAGUAUUUUUGGAGUAUUUUGGUGUGUUUUUGGAGUGUUUUGGGAUGUGUUUGUAGUGUUUUGGGGUGUUUUGGGAUAUAUUGAAGGUGUUUUGGUGUGUUUUUGGAGUGUUUUGGGGUAUUUUGGGAUGUUUUGGUGUGUUUUGGGUUAUUUUGAGAGUGUUUUGGUGUGUUUUUGGAGUGUUUCUGGGUGUUUUGGAGUAUUUUGAGGGUGUUUAAAGGUGUUGUGGUAGUUUAAAAUAUAUUGUUAGUUUACUUUUUUUUAACUUUUUAUUUUCUUAUGCAUUAUUUUAUUUCUUAUUUAUAUUGUGGUGUGUUGUCGGUGUGUCCUAACCUAACCUAACCAGCCUACCCUCUCCUAACCUCCCCUCAACCCACAGGCACUGAUUGGCGUGACAUUCAGCAUAGGCUUCACCGUCGGGCACACUGUGGGGGCUGCUUUCUCCCGCUGGGGAAGUACUGGGUGGUUCGCGGCCUCGGCUGUCUACGCACGCACUCUCACUGUGGCUAACAUAAUAUUCUUUGCUGUCUUCUUCCAGGAAUCGCUGCCUGAGGGCAGAAGGAGGAGGGACAUCGGUGCCAGUUUGACCGAGGCUUGGGAGGUGAUCAAUCCUAGGGCUCUGUUCUCUGUCAGCUGUGUCAAGGGCCUGGGCAGAGAAGCCUGGAGUUAACGCUGAUCUUCGCGACCCACCACAAGCAUAGUUACGACUCGUUGGCGCAGGACCGCAAGUUUUCCUUCCUGGGCCUGGUCAUGGCAAUUACACAGAGAGGGUUUAUGCGAAGUGUUAAGACUGGAACUGAAAAAGCAACUGCCAAUUAGGCACACACCUACAUUGUGAUGCAGCUCCUUGGAGGUGGAGAGCUGGCUGCCUCAGAGGAUCAGGAAACACGAGAGGUUCACAGAGGCUCGCCUCGGGCUUCGGUCGUCGUGAGGAACCUGGUGUCAGCAGUUCACUACGUGCACAGGAAAAGCAUCAGUGUUCACGGAGACCUAAAGCCAGACAGGGGUGAAAAGGGUUGGUGUUGAGGAUAGACAGAAAAGAAAAGAAAAGAAAUUAAAGGUAAAAAAAGGAAGUUUUUUUGCAUUGAUUUUCCAUCUGCUUAUUUUAAAGAAUUUAUUGCAUGGAAUAUUAUUGAUCUCCAUCAUUUGUAUGGCCUUUAUAAUAAAAAGUAUGAAUUUA